rnacentral:rRNA from 1 species
GUGGGGAAUUUUGGACAAUGGGCGAAAGCCUGAUCCAGCCAUGCCGCGUGCAGGAUGAAGGCCUUCGGGUUGUAAACUGCUUUUGUACGGAACGAAAAGACUCUGGUUAAUACCUGGGGUCCAUGACGGUACCGUAAGAAUAAGCACCGGCUAACUACGUGCCAGCAGCCGCGGUAAUACGUAGGGUGCAAGCGUUAAUCGGAAUUACUGGGCGUAAAGCGUGCUCAGGCGGUUAUAUAAGACAGAUGUGAAAUCCCCGGGCUCAACCUGGGAACUGCAUUUGUGACUGUAUAGCUAGAGUACGGUAGAGGGGGAUGGAAUUCCGCGUGUAGCAGUGAAAUGCGUAGAUAUGCGGAGGAACACCGAUGGCGAAGGCAAUCCCCUGGACCUGUACUGACGCUCAUGCACGAAAGCGUGGGGAGCAAACAGGAUUAGAAACCCGGGUAGUCC